rnacentral:rRNA from 1 species
AGUGAACGCUGGCGGUAGGCCUAACACAUGCAAGUCGAACGGCAGCACAGUAAGAGCUUGCUCUUACGGGUGGCGAGUGGCGGACGGGUGAGGAAUACAUCGGAAUCUACUUUUUCGUGGGGGAUAACGUAGGGAAACUUACGCUAAUACCGCAUACGACCUACGGGUGAAAGCAGGGGAUCUUCGGACCUUGCGCGAUUGAAUGAGCCGAUGUCGGAUUAGCUAGUUGGCGGGGUAAAGGCCCACCAAGGCGACGAUCCGUAGCUGGUCUGAGAGGAUGAUCAGCCACACUGGAACUGAGACACGGUCCAGACUCCUACGGGAGGCGGCAGUGGGGAAUAUUGGACAAUGGGCGCAAGCCUGAUCCAGCCAUACCGCGUGGGUGAAGAAGGCCUUCGGGUUGUAAAGCCCUUUUGUUGGGAAAGAAAAGCAGCAGGUUAAUACCCCGCUGUUCUGACGGUACCCAAAGAAUAAGCACCGGCUAACUACGUG